rnacentral:rRNA from 1 species
UACGGAGGGGGCUAGCGUUGUUCGGAAUUACUGGGCGUAAAGCGCACGUAGGCGGACAGGUAAGUCAGUGGUGAAAUCUCUGGGCUUAACCCAGAAACUGCCGUUGAUACUAUUUGUCUUGAAUAUCCUGGAGGUAGGCGGAAUAUGUCAUGUAGCGGUGAAAUGCUUAGAUAUGACAUAGAACACCGAUAGCGAAGGCAGCUUACUACAGGAUGAUUGACGCUGAGGCACGAAAGCGUGGGGAGCAAACAGG